GGGGUACCGUUUAUCCGGAAUAUUCGGGCGUAAGGGCUCGCAGGCGGUUUCUUAAGUCUGAUGUGAAAGCCCCCGGCUCAACCGGGGAGGGUCAUUGGAAACUGGGGAACUUGAGUGCAGAAGAGGAGAGUGGAAUUCCACGUGUAGCGGUGAAAUGCGUAGAGAUGUGGAGGAACACCAGUGGCGAAGGCGACUCUCUGGUCUGUAACUGACGCUGAGGAGCGAAAGCGUGGGGAGCGAACAGGAUUAGAUACCCUGGUAGUCCACGCCGUAAACGAUGAGUGCUAAGUGUUAGGGGGUUUCCGCCCCUUAGUGCUGCAGCUAACGCAUUAAGCACUCCGCCUGGGGAGUACGGUCGCAAGACUGAAACUCAAAGGAAUUGACGGGGGCCCGCACAAGCGGUGGAGCAUGUGGUUUAAUUCGAAGCAACGCGAAGAACCUUACCAGGUCUUGACAUCCUCUGACAAUCCUAGAGAUAGGACGUCCCCUUCGGGGGCAGAGUGACAGGUGGUGCAUGGUUGUCGUCAGCUCGUGUCGUGAGAUGUUGGGUUAAGUCCCGCAACGAGCGCAACCCUUGAUCUUAGUUGCCAGCAUUCAGUUGGGCACUCUAAGGUGACUGCCGGUGACAAACCGGAGGAAGGUGGGGAUGACGUCAAAUCAUCAUGCCCCUUAUGACCUGGGCUACACACGUGCUACAAUGGACAGAACAAAGGGCAGCGAAACCGCGAGGUUAAGCCAAUCCCACAAAUCUGUUCUCAGUUCGGAUCGCAGUCUGCAACUCGACUGCGUGAAGCUGGAAUCGCUAGUAAUCGCGGAUCAGCAUGCCGCGGUUGAAAUACGUUCCCCGGGCCUUGUACACACCGCCCGUCACACCACGAGAGUUUGUAACACCCGAAGUCGGUGAGGUAACCUUUUAGGAGCCAGCCGCCGAAGGUGGGACAGAUGAUUGGGGUGAAUCUAGAAAAAACCCCCCCCCACAGAUAUAAAAGGGU
rnacentral:rRNA from 1 species